rnacentral:rRNA from 1 species
GACGAACGCUGGCGGCGUGCUUAACACAUGCAAGUCGAACGGAAAGGCCCUGCUUUUGUGUGGUGCUCGAGUGGCGAACGGGUGAGUAACACGUGAGUAACCUGCCCUUGACUUUGGGGUAACUUCAGGAAACUUGGGCUAAUACCCGAUCGGAGCUCCUGCUCCAUGGUGGGGGUUGGAAAGUUUCGGCGGUUGGGGCUGGACUCGGGGAUUAUCAGCUUGUUGGUCGGGUAGUGGCUUACAAAGGGUUUGACCGGUAGCCGGCCUGGGAGGGGGGCCGGGCACCUUGCGACUGAGGGAGGGCGCAGACGGCAAUGGGAGGCAGCAGUGGAGAGUAUGACACAGUGGGGGGGAGUGCGAGGCGGAGGCGCCGGGUGCGGGAAGACGGCUUGCGGGUUGUAAACAGCUUUCGCCUGAGACGAAGCGUGCGUGACGGUAAUGUGUAAAGAAGCACCGGCUAACUACGUG